GAGUCUCUCUUUCGUAGCGCCCACGUCUCAAUGGUGAAUUCGUUGCUCGUAUUGUCAACGGUGGAUUUGCUUUAACGUUAAGCUGGAUUUAAAGAUGAGAUAGGUUGAGAUAAUUUAUAAAUAGUUGUGAGAUUUGUAAGAUAUAAUUUAUAAAUAAUCGUGAAUAGCAGGAAGAUGAGUUGCGAUUAUCCGAACCGACACUUAUAGUGUUGGAAGAUCCGAACCCGGUUCGACUCCACUGGCGUCCUUUAAAAAAUGGGGACCCGUUCGGGAUCAGCGUUGUAGGUUCUGAUUGUCCUGGUUGGUCUUUUGGGGCUCUGGCGGGAUUGGUUCGGUUUUUGCCGAGAGUCGAAGACCCAAGAACGUGCAGGUCGCGGUUCGGGUCAAAUGGUCCGGUACCCCACUGCUUUUAGAAGCUGUGAACCAUUAUCUAGGGAAUGGAAAGACCUUUUUAAGGACGUCAUUGACGUGUGGCUUCAUACUGAGGGUGGCCUUGAUCUUAUACAGCUAAAGAGUGCCUGAAGAAAAUCUUGGAACAUGGACACUUUCUUUUUAAGUGAACCAUUGACAUCGUUGUUUGAAUUCUCACUUAUGCUGCGAUCAGCAUCCCCAAGAUUGGUGCUUUAUCGACAACUAGCAGAGAAGUCUCUUUUUCCUUUCCUCUGGCUGAUGAAGCUGGAUCAAACAAUUUCAAGGAGGAAACUUUAGAAACAAAUGCAAAAAUGCAGAUUAAAAAAUCAGACCCCUUGCUUGUUGGUGUAAACCUAGAUGGUGCUGGUGCAAAAUGUUGUUGAGUGAAUACUGGUGGAUCACUGUUCUUUGAUGUCGAGGAAUUGCUAUUGUGGCUUCGCAAUCCUAGUGAACUCGCUGGAGACUCAUUUCAGCAGCCAGAACUAUUUGACUUGAUCGUAUUCACUUUGAUUCAAGUGCUGAAAGCCCAAUUUCCAUCCUUAAUGGAGCUCUUGGAACUUAUUGCUUUAAGAAGUUUCAUGUCGCAUUAGUUGAAGCUGCCAAAGAAGGAAAAGUUAUGUUGUGAGACCUGUUUUACCUUCUGGCUGUGAAGCAAAAAUUGACCAUUGCAGUGCAGUUGGCACAAGAGAUUCCUUGAAUUUGGGCGGUUAUGGUGUAGGACUUGCUUUGAAGAACAUGGAAUAUAAGGCCAUGGAUAACAGUAUAAUAAAGAAAGAAUCAGCCAGGCUGCCACAAGCUACAACUGAAUCCUACAAGAUUUGCAACACUGCUCGGAUCACAAGAACCAACACAAUCUACCUACUUUCGGUCUACAGUUGUUCGUUUGAGCUGCUCAAGAAUAUUCUAAUCUGUCGGUUUACAGAUUAGAAAGUGCCUGAAAAGAAGAAAUAUGCCUUCUAAAAAACAAAAGAAACACUACUAUGAAGCUUGCGGCCAGCAGGCCAUACACGUCAGUGGUUUGCCAAUAUUUCUGCAACGGUACUCGGUAGAUCAGCAGCUAGGUACGUGCUGUGACUUGUGGCAAUUUCAAGACGCUUCAUCCUUCCUGGAAAUGCAUCCCAGUUUUUAAAAUGAGGAGUCUGUCAAAAGUUUUUUUUUUUUAUUUUUUAAGAUGCCUCUAAAUCAAGUAUUUAUCAUUUAAAACAAUUGAGCAACUGGAUGUCUGUUUUGGCAACCCCACUAAAAAGUGUAGGCAAUGAUGGCUCGAAUUAAGACAUUAAUGAAAUUUUCUACUGAAAAUAACAUCUAAAAUAAAUAAAUAAACAU